AGAGUUUGAUCCUGGCUCAGGAUGAACGCUAGCUACAGGCUUAACACAUGCAAGUCGAGGGGAAACGACAUCGAACGCUUGCUUUUGAUGGGCGUCGACCGGCGCACGGGUGAGUAACGCGUAUCCAACCUGCCCAUCACUUGGGGAUAACCUUGCGAAAGUAAGACUAAUACCCAAUGACGUCUCUAGAAGACAUCUGAAAGAGAUUAAAGAUUUAUCGGUGAUGGAUGGGGAUGCGUCUGAUUAGCUUGUUGGCGGGGUAACGCCACAAGGCGACGAUCAGUAGGGGUUCUGAGAGGAAGGUCCCCCANAUUGGAACUGAGACACGGUCCAAACUCCUACGGGAGCA
rnacentral:rRNA from 1 species